UACAGAGGUCUCAAGCGUUGUUCGGAUUCAGUUGGGCGUAAAGGGUGCGUAGGUGGCGCGCUAAGUCGGGUGUGAAAUUUCGGAGCUUAACUCCGAAACUGCAUUCGAUACUGGCGUGCUUGAGGACUGGAGAGGAGACUGGAAUUCAUGGUGUAGCAGUGAAAUGCGUAGAGAUCAUGAGGAAGACCAGUGGCGAAGGCGGGUCUCUGGACAGUUCCUGACACUGGAGGCAACGAAGGCCCAGGGGAGCAAACGGG
rnacentral:rRNA from 1 species